GGAAGUAUGGCAGAGAGGCUUAUUGCAACGGUCUUGAAAAUCGUAGAGUCUUAAAAGGCUCCGUAGGUUCGAAUCCUACUACUUCCG
rnacentral:tRNA from 1 species